AUCAGACUCUGAGGUCACAUCUGUGAAAUAUUUAAGAUCGAGUUUCGAAACUAAAACCCACAAAAUCAUUUACAAACGAUCAACCAUGAAACCAUAAAGGACAGAACUCGACAAAUGGGAAUAAUCUCCUGCUUUGGAGCUGAAAGUCAAGACUGCAGAUGAUUUACUCUUGAUUUGUCCUAAAAUAUGACAAAUGUGAAUAAUAUUAUUUCAGUAAAGAAUCUAAUAGGUAAUUAAUAUGGUUGUCAUAUUUUAUUAGUGUUAGUAAUUGUAUUAUAUGAUCUGAGAAAGGAUUUAACUCAGUCAGGACCUUCACAUGUGCUGCCAAGUGUCCAUCAGUGUUACCUCAUCAGCUGCUUGUUACCUGAAGGAAAUGAUGUAAUUUAGUGAAUAUCAGCAGUGACAAACACACAGUUUGUCAGAGCUGUGAGGAGUGUCAGGGUUUCAGUGUUCUUCCUCUCUCCUCCCCUCUCACUGCAGACAUGAAACGCUGGCUGAGAAACAUCCUGAUUCUGACUCUCUGUUUAGAGUGUAAAGGACAAGACAAAGUGAACCAGCCAACAGAGGAUGUCAUUGCUACUGAAGGAGACUCAGUUACACUUGGAUGUACAUUUGAGACAAGUGCCUCAAGUCAAACUUUGUUCUGGUACAAACAGGAAGCAAACGGUUAUCCAAAGUACAUGCUGAGAUGUUUCUCUAAAACAGUCGAUCAUGCUCCAGAGUUUGAAAAGGAGAGAUUUAAUGCUACAAUUGAGAACAAGUCGGUUCCUCUGAAGAUCCAGAAGCUUCAGCUGUCUGACUCUGCUGUGUACUACUGUGCUCUGAGGCCCACAGUGACAGGAAACACCAAAACUCUGUACAAAAACCUUUGGAGCAAAGACAACAGAAUACUCCACAACAUCCACUAGAGGGAGUCACACACUGUUACACUGCAACUAUUCAGGCUCUGCUGACAACCUCUUGUGGUAUCAAGUCCAGUUCAUCUCCACAGCUUCUCCACAGAGUCACUUUCCUGUCAGACAGGAUUGUGAUGUGUCAGGAAUCACAGCCACACUUGGCAUUUUAUUCAGACUUGUCUUCAUGAUAAACUCACUCCCAGCAUCUCUGUGGGAAUCUUUGCUGCACAAAGUGGCACAUGAUCAGACACCAUCAACAUCAACCAAAUCAAACAUCAGCAAGUGUGUUGAUAAUGUGGUGCUGAUCACAAACAACAAAAUCAAUCUCCAUCAGAAAGCCUGGAUGAAUGGAGAGAUGAGGGCUCCAUCCAGACCCAAUGAAGCUGUCUUUUGGACAGGUCCACCAAUCAGCUGUGACAUUGUUACCACUGACAGGUCAAGUCCUACACGCCUC